ACUAUAUACUGUGGGACUAGAUACUGUGGGACUAGAUACUGUGGUUCUAGGUACUGUGAGAUGAGAUACUGUGGGACUAGGAACUGUGGGACUAGAUACUGUGUUAGCACUGGAGAUACUGUGGGACUAGAUACUGUGGGACUAGAUACUGUGGGAUGAGAUACUGUGGGACUAGAUACUGUGGGACGAGAUACUGUGGGAUGAGAUACUGUGGGACUAGAUACUGUGGGACUAGAUACUGUGGGACUAGAUACCAUGGGACUAGGUACUGUGGGACUAGAGACUGUGUUAGCACUGGAGAUAAUAUGGGACUAGGUAUUGUGGGACUCAAUUCCAUUGGACUAGUUACUGUGGUACUAGGUACUGUGGGACUAGUUGCUGUGGGACCAGGUACUGUGGGACCAGAUACUGUGGGACCAGAUGCUGUGGGACUAGGUACUGUGGGACGUUACCAUGGGACUAGAUACUGUGGGACCAGAUACUGUGGGACUAGGUACUGCGGAACUAGGUACUGCGGAACUUCUGCUGGUUGGGGAACAUUUUGAUUGAAACCACAAUAUUAACACUCUUAUGAGUGUACAUGCAUUUUUGUAUAUUAUAUAUCAGUGGAGGCUGCUGAGGGGAGGACGGCUCAUAAUAAUGGCUGGAUCGGAGCAAAUGGAAUGGCAUGCAACCAUGUGUUUGAUGUAUUUGAUACCAUUCAACUCAUCCCAUUCCAG
ensembl:lncRNA